GGAGAUGUAUCGAAGUGGUCAUAACGAGAGCGACUCGAAAUCGUUUAGUCGGCUAAUACCGGCUCGUGGGUUCGAAUCCCACCAUCUCCG
rnacentral:tRNA from 1 species